rnacentral:rRNA from 1 species
UGGGGAAUUUUGGACAAUGGGCGCAAGCCUGAUCCAGCCAUGCCGCGUGAGUGAAGAAGGCCUUCGGGUUGUAAAGCUCUUUCAGACGGAAAGAAAUCUCUCAGGAUAAUACCUUGGGAGGAUGACGGUACCGUAAGAAGAAGCACCGGCUAACUACGUGCC